rnacentral:rRNA from 1 species
UACGUAGGGUGCGAGCGUUAAGUCGGAAUUACUGGGCGUAAAGCGUGCGUAGGCGGUCCGCGAAGUCUGAUGUGAAAGCCCCGGGCUCAACCUGGGAACUGCAUUGGAAACUAACGGGCUCGAGUGUGGCAGAGGGGGGUGGAAUUCCACGUGUAGCAGUGAAAUGCGUAGAGAUGUGGAGGAACACCGAUGGCGAAGGCAGCCCCUGGGCUAACACUGACGCUCGAGGUACGAAAGCGUGGGGAGCAAACAGG